GGGGGCGACAUGGCUUCGACGUGGGUCGCAAAACCUGAGGUGCAUGCCGAGGCGCGGUUACCUCGUAAAUCCAUCCGCAAACUUAUAGUUGCCAACGACGACAACUACGCUCUCGCUGCUUAACCCAGCGAGCCUCUGACCGUUUCUCGCCUGUGGGCGACGGGUUCCAGGGGUAAAAUUACACAGGAUCGCGGAGAUGGGCGUCCGGACCUGAUCCGCUAAAACCUAACGGAAUCGCUGACCGACCGCCCUGCCCUUCGGGCAAUCGGGAAGCUAAAAAACAAUAGAAUGGGCUAAGCAUGUAGAGCCAAUGGCAGAGGGCUUGCGGACGCGGGUUCGAUUCCCGCCGCCUCCACCA
rnacentral:tmRNA from 1 species